rnacentral:lncRNA from 1 species
GUCCAAUACUGUGGCUACUGUAAAUACCAUUUUAGUAAGCUGAAAUAUAAAGAGAAGGACAAACACAAACAGAAACACAAGAAGCAGCCAGAACCAUCACCUGCAUUGGUUCCAUCCUUGACUGUUACUACAGAAAAAGUCAUGCAAGGAUCAGAUGUGAGAGGAAUGGAGAACCUCAGGAUCAACUCAAGUAAUUGGAAAAAGUAUUUGAAAAAUGAGGUGGGGUGGUUUCCAAAUUGACCUGCCCAGCAUGGAAAAGGUUCAUAUUUCUAAAACUUAUACAAGCACUAGCAACAACUCUAUAUCUGGAUCAUUGAAGCGCUUGGAAGAUACUACUGCACGAUUUACAAAUGCAAAUUUCCAGGAAGUCUCUGCACACACCUCUAGUGGAAAAGAUGUUUCAGAGACUAGAGGGUCAGAGGGCAAAGGGAAGAAAUCUUCAGCUCACAGCUCAGGUCAAAGGGGAAGAAAGCCUGGUGGUGGAAGAAAUCCAGGAACAACUGUGUCAGCAGCUAGCCCUUUUCCUCAAGGCAGUUUUUCAGGAACUCCAGGCAGUGUAAAGUCAUCUUCUGGAAGUUCAGUGCAGUCUCCCCAGGAUUUCCUGAGCUUUACAGACUCAGAUCUGCGUAAUGACAGUUACUCUCACUCCCAACAGUCAUCAGCAACCAAAGAUGUACAUAAAGGAGAGUCUGGAAGCCAGGAAGGGGGGGUAAAUAGUUUUAGUACCUUAAUUGGCCUCCCUUCAACCUCAGCUGUUACUUCACAGCCUAAAAGCUUUGAAAAUUCACCUGGAGAUUUGGGUAAUUCCAG